rnacentral:tRNA from 1 species
GCCUUCGUGGUGUAAUUGUAAGCAUGUUCGACUGUUAAUCGGGAGAUCCGGAGUUCGAAUCCUGGCGAGGAUA